rnacentral:rRNA from 1 species
UAGGGAAUCUUCGGCAAUGGGGGGAACCCUGACCGAGCAACGCCGCGGGAGUGAAGAAGGUUUUCGGAUCGUAAAGCUCUGUUGUUAAGGAAGAACGAGUGUGAGAAUGGAAAGUUCAUACUGUUACGGUACUUAACCAGAAAGGGACGGCUAACUACGUGCCAGCAGCCGCGGUAAUACGUAGGUCCCGAGCGUUGUCCGGAUUUCUUGGGCGUAAAGCGAGCGCAGGCGGUUAGAAAAGUCUGAAGUGAAAGGCAGUGGCUCAACCAUUGUAGGCUUUGGAAACUGUUUAACUUGAGUGCAGAAGGGGAGAGUGGAAUUCCAUGUGUAGCGGUGAAAUGCGUAGAUAUAUGGAGGACCACCGGUGCCGAAAGCGGCUCUCUGGUCUGUAACUGACGCUGAGGCUCGAAAGCGUGGGGAGCGAACAGG